rnacentral:rRNA from 1 species
CCUACGGGAGGCAGCAGUGAGGAAUAUUGGUCAAUGGACGAGAGUCUGAACCAGCCAAGUAGCGUGAAGGAUGACUGCCCUAUGGGUUGUAAACUUCUUUUAUAUGGGAAUAAAACGUUCCACGUGUGGGAUUUUGUAUGUACUAUAUGAAUAAGGAUCGGCUAACUCCGUGCCAGCAGCCGCGGUAAUACGGAGGAUCCGAGCGUUAUCCGGAUUUAUUGGGUUUAAAGGGAGCGUAGGUGGAUUGUUAAGUCAGUUGUGAAAGUUUGCGGCUCAACCGUAAAAUUGCAGUUGAGACUGGCAGUCUUGAGUACAGUAGAGGUGGGCGGAAUUCGUGGUGUAGCGGUGAAAUGCUUAGAUAUCACGAAGAACUCCGAUUGCGAAGGCAGUUCACUGGACUGCAACUGACACUGAGGCUCGAAAGUGUGGGUAUCAAACAGGAUUAGAUACCCCGGUAGUC